GACUCCCUCUAACUCCUUUCCUCUCUCCCUCCUCCUCCUCCUCAUCUCUCCCUCCUCCUCAUCUCUCCCUCCUCCUCCUCCUCUCGUACUGGUCCUGUGCUCUCCCCGUGGUGAGGCAGUCCGGCGGAGCGAGAGCGAGAGCGAGUGUGUGUGUGUGUGUGUGUGUGUGCGUUCCUGUUCCUGUAUCAGCGCUGGGAUACCAGUCAGCAGCAUGAAACCUUGAAUCCGAUCGAGACUGGACACAGUGUAACAGGCAACACGGCAACAGAGUGUGACUGCUGCAAAGAGAUGUGGAGUGUGUGAGCGCGCAACAACAGCAGUUACUGAACACACCUUCUCCCCACAUACUCGUGAAGGUUCACUGGACACAGCACACAACAGACCAGCGUUUGAACAGCACAGACACGGCUGCCAUAUCUGAGGGUGCCGCGACCUACAGCUCAUCCGUCUGUACAUGGAGACCACGAGCUGGGCAGUGUGUAAGUCGGGCACCAUUGCUGUGUUUGGAAACGUGGUGUACGGUGACCUGCUGACGGAUCUGACUGACUUCUGCCACUUUGGAGUUCCACUCGUCACAAGACUGAGUUCUGCUUCCCGUCCGCUGAGCGAGAAGAGAAGAACGUCGGACACACACUGCCUUAGGAACCG
ensembl:lncRNA